UACGUAGGGGGCAAGCGUUGUCCGGAUUUAUUGGGCGUAAAGAGCGUGUAGGCGGUCAGGUAGGUCCGUUGUGAAAACUCGAGGCUCAACCUCGAGACGCCGAUGGAAACCAUCUGACUAGAGUCCGGAAGAGGAGAGUGGAAUUCCUGGUGUAGCGGUGAAAUGCGCAGAUAUCAGGAGGAACACCAAUUGCGAAGGCAGCUCGCUGGGACGUGACUGACGCUGAGACGCGAAAGCGUGGGGAGCAAACAGG
rnacentral:rRNA from 1 species